rnacentral:rRNA from 1 species
AGGACGAACGCUGGCGGCGUGCCUAACACAUGCAAGUCGAACGGGACCAGGGGCAACUCUGGUUCAGUGGCGGACGGGUGCGUAACACGUGAGGAACAUGACUUUCGGCGGGGGAUAGCCGGCCCAACGGCCGGGUAAUACCGCGUACGACCUCUCGGGGACACCCCCGGUUGGUGAAAGCAGCAAUGCACCGAAAGAGUGCCUCGCGGCCUAUCAGCUAGUUGGUGGGGUAACGGCUCACCAAGGCGACGACGGGU